AUUGAACGCUGGCGGCAGGCCUAACACAUGCAAGUCGAGCGAGCGGCGGACGGGUGAGUCAUGUCUGGGAAACUGCCUGAUGUAGGGGGCUAACUACUGGAAACGGUAGCUACUACCGCAUACCCUCAGAUUUGCCCAGAUGGGAUUAGCUAGUCGGUGGGGUAACGGCUCACCUAGGCGACGAUCCCUAGCUGGUCUGAGAGGAUGACCAGCCAAACUGGAACUGAGACACGGUCCAGACUCCUACGGGAGGCAGCAGUGGGGAAUAUUGCACAAUGGGCGCAAGCCUGAUGCAGCCAUGCCGCGUGUAUGAAGAAGGCCGUCGGGUUGUAAAGUACUUUCAGCGGGGAGGCGUUACCCGCAGAAGAAGCACCGGCUAACUCCGUGCCAGCAGCCGCGGUAAUUC
rnacentral:rRNA from 1 species